CCUACGGGUGGCAGCAGUGAGGAAUAUUGGUCAAUGGGCGCGAGACUGAACCAGCCAAGCCGCGUGAGGGAAGACGGUCCUAUGUAUUGUAAACCUCUUUUGUCGGGGAGCAAAAGCUGCCACGCGUGCCGUUCCGAGAGUACCUGAAGAAAAAGCAUCGGCUAACUCCGUGCCAGCAGCCGCGGUAAUACGGAGGAUGCGAGCGUUAUCCGGAUUUAUUGGGUUUAAAGGGUGCGCAGGCGGACGAUUAAGUCAGCGGUAAAAUUGCGAGGCUCAACCCCUUCGAGCCGUUGAAACUGGUUUUCUUGAGUGGGUGAGAAGUAUGCGGAAUGCGUGGUGUAGCGGUGAAAUGCAUAGAUAUCGCGCAGAACUCCGAUUGCGAAGGCAGCAUACCGGCGCUCAACUGACGCUCAUGCACGAAAGUGUGGGUAUCGAACAGGAUUAGAUACCCCUGUAGUC
rnacentral:rRNA from 1 species